AGUUACUGCUAUCGGUGUUCGCCUAAGCCAUGCGAGUCAUAUGUUCUUCGUGAACAUGGCGUACUGCUCAGUAACACGUGGAUAACCUGCCCUUGGGUCCGGCAUAACCCCGGGAAACUGGGGAUAAUUCCGGAUAACGCAUAUUUGCUGGAAUGCUUUAUGCGUCAAAUGGAUUCGUCUGCCCAAGGAUGGGUCUGCGGCCUAUCAGGUAGUAGUGGGUGUAAUGUACCUACUAGCCGACAACGGGUACGGGUUGUGAGAGCAAGAGCCCGGAGAUGGAUUCUGAGACAUGAAUCCAGGCCCUACGGGGCGCAGCAGGCGCGAAAACUUUACAAUGCGGGAAACCGUGAUAAGGGGACACCGAGUGCCAGCAUCAUAUGCUGGCUGUCCAGGUGUGUAAAAUACACCUGUUAGCAAGGGCCGGGCAAGACCGGUGCCAGCCGCCGCGGUAACACCGGCGGCCCGAGUGGUGAUCGUGAUUAUUGGGUCUAAAGGGUCCGUAGCCGGUUUGGUCAGUCCUCCGGGAAAUCUGAUAGCUCAACUAUUAGGC
rnacentral:rRNA from 1 species